rnacentral:lncRNA from 1 species
UUGAUUUAAAUAUAAAUACAAAAUGAUUAAUAAACUUCGGAAAUUCAUAACUUCUUCAUACGAACUCCGUUUUCGACGUUCUUUAUAUCCACGCGAAGGUGAGACCACGCUCUACGACUUUCGUUUAGACUCCGUCGGCUAAUUUUGACUUUAUUUUUAUUAAUUAUUUUUAAUAGGCCGGGACAGAAACUUUCGUUAUAAAUUCAUAACUUCUUCGUUUGACGUCCGUUCUCGCCUAACUUUUUAUCGUUUCAAUACCAACAAUGAGAUCUUCGAUUCUCAUUUAGAUUGCUUCGGCUAACAACCGCUCGAUCUCAAAUCGAGUAAAACAGGCUGUAUAUCGCUAAGCCGGAACUUCGAUAAAUCAUAACUUCCUCAUACGAAGUCAGAUUUGGGCGUUCUAUAUAUAUUCGGAAACCUCGUUUCAACUACUACAACAUUAACCAAAUAUAUUAAGUUUAUUUUACACUUAAAUUUUGACGCUUAUUUUUAUUCUUAAUUAAUCAAACCACAUAAUUAAGCAAUUAAGCACAAAACACACAAUACUCAAAUAAUACAAUCUUAUUAUUUCAAAACGGGUUACAGAGGUUAACCUAGACUAUUACAUUGCUACAAAUGGCAAGCCCGAAACACAGGCGUUACAAUUCUCUCCACCUUAGAAUGAUUCCGUCCCCGGAAUCACACAUCAACAAACAAAUGCGGAUAGCGACUCAACAUGUCACUCUCCGUCUCCCAGGUGAGAUUCGGCCCAUUCGUGUGUUUCCAUCGGACAAGCACUAACCCAACCAUUUUGCGUCGCAACUUCUUAGUCUUUCGGUCAACAAUUGCCUCUGGUUCUUCAAUCAACCUUUUGUUCUCAUCAAUUCUCAAUUCAGAAAUUGGAAUUAUAUCGGGAACUUCUCCCGUGAACUUCCUCAAAUAACACACAUGAAAGGUGUUGUGAAUUCCAUUCAGUUCUUCGGGUAAUUCGAGCUUGUAAGCUUGAUUCCCAAUCCUCUGAAGGACUCUAAACGGUCCAAUAAACCUUGGACUCAACUUUCCCCUUUUACCAAAUCUUAUAAGUCCCUUCCACGGCGAGACUUUAAGCAAAACCGAAUCUCCAACCUCAAAAGUCAUCGGUCUUCGCUUCUUGUCAGCAUAGCUCUUUUGACGAUCUUGAGCUGCUAACAUUCUUUCCCUAAUUAUUUUCAACUUUUCAGCAGUUUGAUGAACCAACUCCGGUCCCAUAAACUGCUUUUCCCCAGCCUCAAGCCAACAAGACGGCGUACGACACUUCUGUCCAUACAAAGCUUGAUAAGGUGCCAUCUUAAUGCUCGAGUGAAAACUAUUAUUAUAGGAAAAUUCUACCAACGGUAAAUGUUCAUCCCAAUUACCUAGGAAUUCCAAGGUACAUGCUCUCAGCAUAUCUUCAAGUGUUUGUAUUGUUCUUUCACUCUGACCAUCAGUCUGCGGAUGGUAAGCUGUGCUUAAACAUAACUUGGUACCCAUUUCCUCUUGUAGACUUUUCCAAAACCUUGAGGUGAAACGGCUAUCACGAUCCGAUACAAUCGUUAACGGAACACCGUGAAGCCUCACAAUUUCCUUCACGUAAGAAUUCGCAAGCUUUUCCAUAGACCAUUUCUCCCUGGCCGCUAUGAAAUGCGCACUCUUAGUGAAUCGAUCAACGACCACCCAAAUCAUGUCGUGACCAUUCUUUGUUCUGGGCAGUUUAGUGACAAAAUCCAUAGCAAUGUCUUCCCACUUACCCAUAGGCACAGGCAAAGGUUCUAAACUCCCGUACGGUUUCUGAUGUUGUGUCUUGACUCUCGCACAAGUCACACACUCGGCCACAUACUUUGCAACAUCAAGCUUCAUCGUCGGCCACCAGUAGUAGGGUUUCAGGUCCCUAUACAUUUUAGUGCUACCCGGAUGAAUCGAGUACAUGGUCUUGUGAGCUUCUUCCAUCAGAAGAUCUCUAAUUCCUCCUGACUUAGGUACCCAAAUACGAUCUUGGAAUACCUUCAGUCCAUGACCGUUAGUACCAAACACCAACGUUUUACCCAAACGUUCCUCCUUUCGGUCAUUUUUCUCAGAAGCUUCCUCUUGAGCUUUCUUUAUACUUUCCACAAUGGUCGAGACAACUUCAAUUCUCAACGCUCUUGGCCUCUUCCUUUCAAGAUUGACCUUCCGACUGAGAGCAUCAGCAACAACAUUAGCUUUACCGGGGUGGUAAAGUAUCUCGCAGUCGUAGUCUUUAAGUAAUUCUAGCCAGCGUCGUUGCCUCAUAUUCAAUUCUUUCUGAUUAAAGAGGUAUUGGAGACUCUUAUGAUCAGUGAAAAGUUUGCACUUCGUGCCAUAGAGGUAAUGCCUCCAUAUUUUCAGAGCGAAAACUACCGCUGCCAACUCCAAAUCAUGAGUCGGGUAAUUCUUUUCAUGCUCUUUCAGCUGUCGAGACGCAUAUGCUAUCACCUUUUCUCUUUGGGUCAAAACACAACCCAAUCCAACACCAGACGCAUCGCUAUAAACAGCGAAGUCUUCAACUCCAUCGGGUAGAGAAAGUAUCGGUGCCUCGCAUAGCUUCUUCUUUAACUUCUCGAAUGCUUCUUUAUGCUUCUCACUCCAAGCAUAAGUAGCUCCUUUGUGGGUCAAAGCUGUUAAUGGAGUAGCAAUCGAAGAAAAGCCUUGGAUAAACCUUCGGUAAUAUCCGGCUAAUCCUAAAAAGCUUCGAAUCUCCGUGGGACUUUUCGGUUGUUCCCACUUCGUCACAGCUUCGAUCUUCGCUGGAUCAACCAUUAUCCCUUCUUGGUUGACCACGUGACCCAAGAAUUGGACUUCACGAAUCCAAAAAUCACAUUUGGAGAACUUCGCAUAAAGCUUCUCCUUCUUCAAAACUUCUAACACUUCUCGCAAGUGUCUGCCAUGCUCCUCCUGGCUUUUCGAGUAGAUCAGAAUGUCGUCUAUGAACACUAUCACGGAUUUAUCAAGGAAAGGAUUACAAACCCUAUUCAUCAAAUCCAUGAACGCUGCUGGAGCAUUGGUUAGUCCAAACGACAUAACCAAGAACUCGUAGUGUCCAUAUCUAGUUCUGAAUGCAGUCUUCUCGAUAUCUUGCUCUCUUACUUUCAGCUGAUGAUAUCCUGACCUAAGAUCGAUCUUCGAGAAAUAGCUCGAACCUUGCAAUUGAUCAAACAGGUCAUCAAUCCUCGGCAACGGAUAUCUAUUCUUUAUUGUUGCCUUGUUCAGCUCUCUGUAAUCGAUGCACAUUCUCAUACUUCCAUCUUUCUUCUUUACAAAUAACACCGGAGCUCCCCAGGGCGAUGAACUAGGUCUAAUGAAACCUUUGUCCAAUAACUCCUGAAGUUGCAUCAUUAGCUCCUUCAUCUCCGUCGGUGCUAAUCGAUAAGGUGCUUUUGCUAUUGGCGUGGUUCCUGGUAACAAGUCUAUUCUGAACUCCACUUGUCUAUCAGGUGGUAAUCCAGGAAGAUCCUCGGGAAAUACUUCCGGAUAAUCACACACCACUGGAAUGCUCUGCAUCACCUUCUUUUCUUUCUUAGCAUCAAUCACGAAUGCUAAAUAUGAUGUACAUCCCUUGGUCAAACACUUUCUGGCUUUCAUUAGAGAAAUGAUUCCAGAAUUCACUCUGCGUUUGUCCCCAUACACCAUAAACGAAUCUUUUCCAGGCGGGUUUACUUUAACUAUCUUCUUCUUGCACAAAAUUUCGGCAUCAUUGGCGCUAAGCCAAUCCAUUCCCAAGACGAUGUCGAAACCAUUUAGUUCGAUAGGCAAUAAUUCCUCGAGAAACUUAUUCCCAUUAAGGUCGAUCAAGACGUUUUUCAUACGAUGGCUAACAGGUACAAACUUGCCACUAGCUACUUCGACUAAUAAAGCAUUAUUUAGUCUAUCAACAGGCAAAGCUAGCUUUCUACCAAACUCAUGCGAAAUAAAGGAGUAGUUGGCUCCAGAAUCAAACAAUAUAUGAGCAGGUAAUUCGUUUACGAGAAAGGUACCUGAAGCGACAUCAGCUUCAUCUUUCGCAGCCUCAAGUGUCAUCUGGAAGGCUCUCGCCUUCGGCUUUGGUGGAAUGUUGGGCCUAGCUGCCUCCUUCUUCUUCGGACAGUCUUUCAAAAUAUGCCCCUCUUCAUUACAACCAAAACACAUCCUUUUGUUGUUCGGACAUUCAUUGGCAAAAUGUCCAACCUUUCCACACUUGUAGCAGGUCACAUCCUCGCUACAUUUCCCAAAGUGCUUUUUCUUACACUUAUCACACCACUUUGCUUCGCCUCCUUUUCCUCCAAACUUUUUCGAAUCAGAUUUCGAAAAUUUGCUCUUCUUACUGGAACCAGAUGUUCCUUCAAACUUCCUUUUCUCACCAACCUCAACCUUGACGGUGGUUCUCCCCUUGAUCAUGUUCUCCACAGACUUGGCAGCCCAGAUAGCUGCCUCUAGAGUAAGUGCCUGACGUACCGGCACCUCGUACUCCCAUGGAAGUCCCUUCGCAUACCGAUCCACCUUUGUCAGCUCGUCUGGAACGAUACGCAAGGCAAACUCCAUCUUAUCGGUGAAGUUAUUGGUGUAUUCAUCAACUGACAUGCUACCCUUCGUCAAUGUCAAAAACUUAUUCUCCAACUCCAACAGAUUUUGAGCCGAGCAGAACUUGCGCUUGAACUGCACCAAGAACUCUGCCCAUGACAAUUGCAGUGGCUCAUUAGGGCUUAAGGUCUUCCCUAGAGUGUUCCACCAACGAACGGCUCCACCUCGGAAUUGUCGCACGGCAUAGAUAGUCUGCAACUUACCUCUGCAGCCACAUGUCAUAAAGGCUAACUCCAUUUCGGAGAUCCAAUCCAUAACCCCAAUCGGAUCCUCCUUUCCAUUGAAGGUCGAUGGUUUGCAAGUCAAAAAGUCCUUGUACUUGCAUCCCAUUCCAUCAUUCCUUCCUUCAUGGUUAUCUUGCCUAACUAUCGGUGGGUUGGCUGGACCAACAGACCCACUGAAGUUUCCACCUUCCGAGUGCCCUUCAUUUAAUUCAGGCUCUUCCACACGAAUCGACAGUUCUUCACGAUUUUGUUGAAGCAACCGUCUAGUUUCAUCCAUCUGACGAUCCAACAUCGUCUGAAUCAUCAAUUGCACACCAGCCAUGGUUAUUGGCUCAGGUGCUGCUGCUACGACAGGUAUUGGCUCAAUCACUGGUGGUUGAUUCCUGUUUUCGUCAGCAUUUCCAACUCCACUUCUUGUUCUCACCAUUUUGAUCUACACCCCGAAUAAGGUGAAAUUAGAUCCUCAAUCAUGAUAGAUAUUCAAAUCAUCCUUAUCACUCCGAAACGUUUACAUGCUAGUUCUAAUAUCGUAGACGUACGCUUAGAAUCCUACACACAUAAGGUUUCUAGAUCCGGUCGGCAACAGACCAUAGAUCCGAACAAAUAAUAUCAUAUAUGGCAACAUAUAACAUUUAGCACAUAAAGCAUUUUAGGCAACUUUCCUAAAAUAAACUAGUGCUCGUGUCUAAAACACAACAGACACACAUCUCAAAACUUCACUUAGCAUUCUAAGUUUAAGUCUAGAAAUCCUACAAAUUCCUAGUUCGCUUAAACUAAUGCUCUGAUACCAACUGUGACAUCCCCAAAAUCUCGGCCAGAAAAGACCGAUUUUCAUUUAUGCUUUUAAAUAUUUUCAGAGUAAAUCCUUUUGAUUUGAAAGAGUUGCGGAAUUUGUUCCCAAAAACAAAACAUGAUAAAACAUUGUUUACCGAAGCAUUUCAUAAAAGAAAUGUAUUUUCAUUAUAAUCAAAACUCGGGGUGUCAUGUUCCGAUACAGACCAAUAAGCAUAAACGAAUACAUUACAAGUCAUAUAACAAAUAUAAACAUAUGCAGACUUGUAAACAAAACAACUUGAUGGUUCAUCCAUCUCAUGCCCUUCCGCCACUACCUGUAAUACAAUUUAAAACUGAGUGGGUCAGGCUUGGGAGCCUGGUGAGCAUAUAGGGUUUUCAACCCACAAUAAAUAUCAUAUUUAAUUUUCACCAACCAACAAUAACCCAAUUACCCAUUCCCGUUAUUCUCACUUUAAUGUCCCUAAAACAACUAACAUAAGGGACCUAGUCUAAGAAUAUUUCAUCGGGGCGACAACACAUGCUUCGGGGGUACCUCAGCAAUAUAAGUCAAAUAAGGCAACCAUGAGGGGGAUGGAGUACAGCGAAUGAACACCCAAGUUCAUUAACACCUACAGGUGGCGAACCUGCUAAUGUUUCCACAAGACUGUCUAGAAUAGCCAGUGGUCGUCAUCUAAACUCCGCUAGAUGACUCAAUCAAACAACAACGAGGCCUCUCAUCUGUUUAUUACACACCAACUGUCUACCCAUGUUCUACCCAACAUAUUAGUAGAUAAAAAUAUACAUUUGUAUACAUAGUUUAAAGAAAACCUGUAUAGCAUGCUUUAAUCAACACAUAUAUCACAUAACAGAUGAGGCACACACACACAUAACACAUAUCUCAUAAAGAAAUAAGCAGAUCUAUAAGAUAGAAGAGAGUGAAUACUCAUUCACACAUAACACAACCAAAUAUAUACACAUAGCACGUAUUUUUAUAUAAAAUACUUCGUAUUAUUGUAUUAGAAGAAAUAACUACACACUCACUUGAUCAGAAGAUGAUCGGACAGCACUACGGCUUAUAGAAGUAGUAAUCCACAGCAGAUCUGGAAGAUCUUCUCGAAAAUCGAACUUCUCGCGGGCAGAGCUUCGACUCGGGAACCGCACUUUUCGGGAUCUUCGGGAUCUCGGGACUUGCCUCGGGGCUAGAGUAUGAUACCGGGACUUCGGGGUAGCUUCGGGGGUUUUUGCACAGAGCUUCGACACGAAAACGAGAGGGAAUUGGCAAAAAUACCCGGAACCCUCGCAUCCUAUUUAUAGGAGGCUGGAGCCUCGGAGUACGCGGGGCGUACUGCGUUACGCGGGGCGUACUGCCCAAAACGUCAUUGCUUACGUAUCCGAAGUGCUCGAGUGCGAGUGUCGACAUCCCUCGGAGUACGCGGGGCGUACUCGAGUACGCGGGGCGUACCUCGGAUCAGAUCGGUGACUCCUUCGGAUAAUGCUUCCGAAUUUUGAUUUAAAUAUAAAUACAAAAUGAUUAAUAAACUUCGGAAAUUCAUAACUUCUUCAUACGAACUCCGUUUUCGACGUUCUUUAGAUCCACGGAAAGGUGAGACCACGCUCUACGACUUUCAUUUAGACUCCGUCGGCUAAUUUUGACUUUAUUUUUAUUAAUUAUUUUUAAUAGGCCGGGACAGAAACUUUCGUUAUAAAUUCAUAACUUCUUCGUUUGACGUCCGUUCUCGCCUAACUUUUUAUCGCUUCGAUACCAACAAUGAGAUCUUCGAUUCUCAUUUAGAUUGCUUCGGCUAAAAACCGCUCGAUCUCAAAUCGAGUAUUUCAGGCUGCAUGCCGCUAAGCCGGAACUUCGAUAAAUCAUAAAUUCCUCAUACGAAGUUAGAUUUGGGCGUUCUAUAUAUAUUCGGAAACCUCGUUUCAAUUACUACAACAUUAAUCAAAGAUAUUGAGUUUAUUUUACACUUAAAUUUUGACGCUUAUUUUUCUUCUUAAUUAAUCAAACCACAUAAUUAAGCAAUUAAGCACAAAACACAUAAUACUAAAAUAAUACAAUCUUAUUAUUUCAAAACGGGUUACAAAGGUUAACCUAGACUAUUAUAUUGCUACAAAUGGCAAGCCCGGAAACACAGGCGUUACAUAUUGGUAUUUUGUAAGAAAGUGAGUGUUACAUAUUUCACAUAAGGAGAUAAUAUGCAACCAAAAGGGUAAAACUAUCCAACUAAUUUGUACCCAAAUAUAAAAUGACAUUAGAACCUAAGAAGGGAACCUGGAACAAUCCAUAUACUCACAGAACUAUUUUACAUUAACAUACUUUAAAGUACAUUUCUUCUACUUUACAAAGGUGCAUAAACCAAACAACACCUUAAUACAUAAUUAGCUAUUUUACAUUAACCUACUUUCACUGUCACAUAAUUAUAACCCAAAUGAAGAUGCAAACCAAAACAAUGCCAUACAACAUCAACCUAACCAUGAAAACACCAGUCUCUUUUUUGUCAAUCAGCUCAAAGUUCAUUAAUUUCUUCUAUAGAUUCAUGUUCUCCUUCUCCAGUUCCAUAUUCUUUUUAGAAAGGAUCAUAUUCUCCCUAUGCAACUCAUUCAUUUUACUCUUAUACCAGUGAAGACCCAAAUCCUCAUCCACCCACACAAAAAAUUUACAAUCUUUUGAAGUAUCUUACAAAAAAAAGUAUCUGAGUAAGAAUUAGAGAAAGAGUAUCAAUCUUAAAAGAAUCUUAGAUACCAGCGAAUUAGGGCAUCGAAUGCAAUGUCGCCUUGGGUUCUUCCUGGUCGUUGAAGUCCAGAUCUUUGGUUCUUCACCACAUCUACACAAAACGUUUUCAUAGUUUAGAGUUGAGGAAGAAGAAGAAGAAGAUCCAUACGAUCGAUCGGCCAUUUCUGCAAAGACAAAGUUAAAAGAAGAAGAGGAACAAGAAAAAUAU